GAGGAAUAUUGGUCAAUGGACGAGAGUCUGAACCAGCCAAGUAGCGUGAAGGAUGACUGCCCUAUGGGUUGUAAACUUCUUUUAUAUGGGAAUAAAACGUUCCACGUGUGGGGAUUUUGUAUGUACCAUAUGAAUAAGGAUCGGCUAACUCC
rnacentral:rRNA from 1 species